GCCCCCAUAGCUCAAUUGGGAGAGCAGUGGCCUCUUAAGCCAUUGGUUCCGGGUUCGAGUCCUGGUGGGGGCACUA
rnacentral:tRNA from 1 species